GAGCAAGAGCGUCGAUUAUGAAAAGUGGCACAACUUGCCUUGAAGGUUGGCGAGAACAAUUGCGAUUCUCCGUGCCUAUCAAAUUUCUUCGUUUUGAAUAUGGCCUCGAACAAGUCGCUACAUU
rfam:Cajanus cajan Scaffold128780_1, whole genome shotgun sequence.